GAAGAUCUGAGUUUAGUUCCCAGAACCUGCAUCAGGCAGCAUACGACCACCAGCUCCAGGAGACCCAGGGUUUUCUACUAGCCUCUAUUGGAGGUUGGAGAAAUGGCUCAGUGGUUAAGAGAACUUGUUGCUCUUGAAGAGAACCCAGGUUUGGUUUCUACCAACAACACAACGGCUUUCAACAAUCUGUGACUCCGGUUCCAUGGGAUCCAUCCUUCUCUUCUGACCACCAAGGGCACCAGGUAUGCACAUGGUGUGCAUACAUAUAUGCAAGCAAGUGACUCACACACAUAAAUAUUUUAAUUUUUAACAAGAUUAAUCCAAGUAAAACUCUCGUAGCACUG